rnacentral:rRNA from 1 species
UGGGGAAUAUUGCGCAAUGGGGGGAACCCUGACGCAGCCAUGCCGCGUGAAUGAAGAAGGCCUUCGGGUUGUAAAGUUCUUUCGGUAUUGAGGAAGGUUGAUGUGUUAAUAGCACAUCAAAUUGACGUUAAAUACAGAAGAAGCACCGGCUAACUCCGUGCCAGCAGCCGCGGUAAUACGGAGGGUGCGAGCGUUAAUCGGAAUUACUGGGCGUAAAGCGCGCGUAGGUGGUUAUUUAAGUCAGAUGUGAAAGCCCCGGGCUUAACCUGGGAACUGCAUCUGAUACUGGAUAACUAGAGUAGGUGAGAGGGGAGUAGAAUUCCAGGUGUAGCGGUGAAAUGCGUAGAGAUCUGGAGGAAUACCGAUGGCGAAGGCAGCUCCCUGGCAUCAUACUGACACUGAGGUGCGAAAGCGUGGGUAGCAAACAGGAUUAGAUACCCUGGUAGUCCACGCCGUAAACGAUGUCUACCAGUCGUUGGGUCUUUUAAAGACUUAGUGACGCAGUUAACGCAAUAAGUAGACCGCCUGGGGAGUACGGCGGGCAAGGUUA